UCUCUUCUGACUUAUGGCACUCGCUAUUUGCUCGUUUAGGUUCACAUUCGCAUCAACAUGCAAGUGAUAAAGACUGUCAAUUAAAAUACCUUAUGCAACGAAUUUAUUUCAUAAAUAAAUGGAACAAAAAUUUUUAUUGAAAUAAAUUUCAAAACCUUCUUGUGCUAGCGCAAAUACAAAAAUUAAAUUCUGACUAGCUAC
rnacentral:lncRNA from 1 species